rnacentral:lncRNA from 1 species
GGAGAGGAGAAAACUCUGUGCUAAAUAUUACUCCUGGAAAAGUGCAUUUGCUUCGGAGAAAUCUUUAUCAUGGGUCUCUAAGAGGAAGGAACAAUAGCAUCUUCUAUGUGCCGAGGUAGCGCAAUAAUGAACUCUGUUCAAGUGGAUCAAAAGCCAUCAAGGUCAAAAUUAGGCACAGGAUAUGGAUGUUACUUUUUCUCCAAGCAUAGGGAAAGUGCCUCUGAAAUAAAGAUUUUAUGACUUGCUUCAGGAAAGAAGAGCAAGAGGAAGGUGACGGUGAUCUUCCUGAAUCUGCUGUUUUCUCAAAUGCCCAGGUGUUGUCGGUGAAAUUGUAUCCCUGAUAAAGGUAAGUCCAAAUCCUAAAUUCUCGUACUUCUGAAUGUGACUUUAUUUGGAAAUAGGGUCUUUGCAAAUGUGAUCAAGUCAAGAUGAAGUCAUACUGGAAUAGGCUAAUCCCUCAAUUACAAAUGACUAGCAUCCUUGCAAAAAAAAAAGAAGAGACACAGAGACAGAAAUCCACGGGAACACACCAUGUGAUGCUGGAGAUACAGAUAUUACAGUGAUAUAUUUACAAGCCAA